UUUUGCCAGGUUGUAAAUAUAUAAUUACCCCUAAAUAAUAAUUGUCAAUAAUAGCAUAGUCGUAAUUAAACGGCUAGAGAACACCGCACUUGAGUGGCUUUACAUUAUUCAGUGUACUGUGCGCAGUUGUGGUCUGCAAGUAUUCACGUGGGAAGGGCCAAAAUGUCAAGUCAAGUGAAAUAUGAUCAUGCACAUAUCGAUACUUGAAGCCAUUUCAAUACACAUUAAAAGUGCUAAAACAUCCGAAUUCCACUUUUGAAACGAUAUCAAAUUAAUAAUCACUGCGCUUCGCAAGGUCUAAUGAGCUGCAUAUGUAGCUUGAGAUAAUCCACACAACCCGCACAGCUCAAUAAUGAGACAUUUUACAGGAAAUAAGAACCAUGUAUAUUUGAACAAUGGAGAGUCUGAGCCGCAUUCGUGAGGACACGUGUGUCUUCCAGCCGCAGUGAGCUCGUUGCUAUCUAUGAGGCCUGCUGGAUCCACCACUGCGUACUGAUCAGAAACCGAAGGCCCGCCGAGCAGCGCACUAAUCGCAGCCAAGCAGCAGGGGCGCUGCAGAAGAUCCCGGCCCUAUGCAUAGGCAGUCCUGAUGGGCCCCCAUGAAAAUAUCCAGGUAAAAUAAAAUAUAUUCCAGACUUUUCAAGGGCCCUCUCUUCCUUUGGGGCCCUGACGUCCGACGCCCCUCGUUUCUCAGCAAGAGGGGGGUAAAAGUACGCUGUUUUUAAUUGAACUAAACUCAGCUUCAUUGUUUGUAGAGAGGGACAGACGCAGACAAUUUACAAAUCUCUCUCUCUCUCUCUCUCUCUGUCUCUCUCAAAAUCAAGUGGCCAUAUUUGAGAAAAAAAAAUAGAGUAGCUAGUUUGCAACACUGGAUAUAGCUGUCGGUCAUUUAACAUUUCUAUUGUAAACUUAUCAUUAAAAGUUGACUAAUAUUAAAUGAUUUGCAGCUUUAUCUUACCUUGCUCUCUUUAACGUUGAACUGAGGCUUCGCGUUCUGCUUCUGUGAACAGUAAACCCCGCCUACUUUGAUUUGAUUGGCCAUCUCAGUCAUUUUGACAUUGACGAGCGCUGUUAGACCGCUGAGGCUUUGAUCUGAAGCGCCCAGUAUGUGCAGCGGUCGCGCGCGCAUCCGUAGACUAGAGCAAGUUAAUUCUCACACAUUAAAAGUAUUUAUUUCUCCUAACAGGCUGUGUGACUGAGACGUUAUUACCUCAAAAUGUACGUCAGUAUGCAGUUUUCCCUAUUGCUCGCGUGCCAGCGAUUAUCCCUCUGCGUGCCACGGUUGGCACGCUUGCCAUAGGUUGCCGACCCCCCUGCAUUAGAGAGAGAAUUCU
rnacentral:lncRNA from 1 species